UGGGGAAUAUUGCACAAUGGGCGCAAGCCUGAUGCAGCCAUGCCGCGUGUGUGAAGAAGGCCUUCGGGUUGUAAAGCACUUUCAGCGGGGAGGAAGGCGGUGAGGUUAAUAACCUCAUCGAUUGACGUUACCCGCAGAAGAAGCACCGGCUAACUCCGUGCCAGCAGCCGCGGUAAUACGGAGGGUGCAAGCGUUAAUCGGAAUUACUGGGCGUAAAGCGCACGCAGGCGGUCUGUCAAGUCGGAUGUGAAAUCCCCGGGCUCAACCUGGGAACUGCAUUCGAAACUGGCAGGCUAGAGUCUUGUAGAGGGGGGUAGAAUUCCAGGUGUAGCGGUGAAAUGUGUAGAGAUCUGGAGGAAUACCGGUGGCGAAGGCGGCCCCCUGGACAAAGACUGACGCUCAGGUGCGAAAGCGUGGGGAGCAAACAGG
rnacentral:rRNA from 1 species